GGCCGUCUUCCCUUCUAUGAAAGAGGCCGGUCUUAGUUUAAACCAGUCUGUCCACCUCCUCUCUACUGUUGUUGUACCCCUGGUUUAGAAGAGCAGUACCGCACAAUAUGGCCUAUCUUAUGACAGUAAUGACAUAUCGGCUUUCCAUCUUUUGACCUCAUGUUUAAACCACUUCCUCUAGGAUUUCCUUGUGCGAGCUUGGUUG
rnacentral:lncRNA from 1 species